UGUCUCUAUUUUAUUUUCAUUUUUCAUUUUCAUUUUUUUAAGAUAAUACUGAUAUUCCAUUAAAAAGUUUAAGUGGCUCAAAAAGACUAACACAUAGAACAGGAAACGACAUAAAGGAAACAUAGUCGACAGAAAACAAUUAACCCACUACAGAAGCACAGUAACCAAAACAACAAAAACAAAUAGAAAACCAAUAGACACAAAAAAACAGCCACAAAAUCAAAACCAUCAGCAGAGAAACCCACUAAGAAUACCAGCCAAUUCUUUUCGACGAAUAGAACCCCUUCAUAUUCUCAAAAAAGAAACGGAAAGAGACGACUUUGAAACUUAGCACAGGAGAUUCAACGAACCUUCUCCAAUCUUCAAAGCCCAAAACCAGCUCAGCACCUAUGAUACCUCACAGAUCGAUCCAUCUCGACCAACACUUCAACAGAAUUUGGUGUCUCCUCAACCUAGAAACAUGGUGAGAUCCGAUGACGACCAUCCAUCACCAAUGCAUGUGCUGCCCGAUUAGUAUCUCUGGGAACAAACUGGUAUGCCACCGCCUCAAAAAACCUCUCUAAAAGCCGAAUAUCCUGUGAAAUUGGGCUUAAAAUAGAUCUAUCCACUAUGUUCGAGUUUAGCUUCUUAAUAACAGUAAGAGAAUCACCUUCCAGGAUGAUAUUUCUGAAACCCAUAUGCAACGCAAAGUAAAGAGCCCUUUCACACGCUCUCGCCUUAGCUACAAAAGCAUCUGCCACAUCCGCUAUCGGGUAAGUACAAGCACCCAAUAUCUGUCCUUCCUCGUCUCUAGCUAACACUACUGCAAUAGAAAUCUUAGUGUUGUCCAUAAACGAUGCGUCAACAUUCAGCUUCAUAAACCUAGAUGUAGGUGGCUGCCACAAAACAUUCCUUGGUUUAUCAGGAAAAAACCUUUGAACUCUACUGGUACUGAAAUCCUAGGCAUAACUUUGAACAAACCCCACAAUCUUAUGCAUAUCAAAAUUGAGACCUUCAUUUACCAGCCUACUCCUCUUAAACCAAAGGGCUCACAAAGAAAUAGUUAUACGUUUCUUAAAUUUCAUAUCAACUACAAGAAAGAAACUUACGAAUUGUGUUCUUCCAUCUGAGAGACCUAUACUGUUAUCAAAGGAGAGAUACAGAGAAAGCCAGAGUUGACGCAAGACACUACAAGACCAUAAUAGAUGAUGCACGUCCCCGGGGCCUCCUUACACAAAGGACAGACAUUAUCGACUCACAGUCUCCUUUUGGCCAAAUUGGAGAAAUGAGGCACAUAGUCCUUUAGAGUACGGUAUAGAUGAAUUUUAAUCUUAGCAGGGAUUUGAAGGUCCCAAAUAGAUGUAUAGAGUUUUUUUCAUUAUCGUUUUUACUCAAAUUACUGUCUGUAUGCUGGGUCACUUUUGUAAGUAACGCUCGAUACCCACUCUUCACCGAAUACUCUCUUGAAGUAUCAUGGCACCAAGCAAGCAAAUCAGGAAUACUACACCCAGCAAGAGGAAUGUUGAAAAUUUUUCGAGUAUGAACUUCAUCGCAUAUCUUAAAAAUCACCUCAUUUUUCCAGGUACUAGAAUCCGUAUUAAUCAAUUGAUCAACAGUAGACCAAUGAGUAUCCAUAUUCGUUACUAACAGUCUGCCAUUUCCAGGACCAGGAAGCUAGGGAUCAUUCCAGAUAUUUACCUUUACACCAUUGCCAAUUCUCCACAGGAGUCCGUCAUCAAGUACGUUCCAAGCACACAGAUACUCCUCUAUGUAAAAGAAGGAUAAGAACUAAUUUUAACUGAUAGUAUAUUAGUAAAAGGAUAAUAUCGGGACUUAAAGACUUUCGAGAGAAGGCAGUCAGGCUGGGAUAAAAGCUUUCCGUCUUGCUUAGCUAAAAGGCUUUAUUGAACAAAUAGAGGUCUCAAAAACCCAUCCCACCAUUAACUUUUGGCAAACAGAGCACACUCUAAGUACUCCAAUGGAUUCCUUUGGCAGUUUUACUAUUUGCCCACCAAAACUUGUUCAAUAUACCUUCAAGUUGAUAACAUAACUUUUUUGGCAAUGCAAAUAUUGCAUCACUUAAACCAGAAUUGCUUGAAGGACAGCCUUAACAAAAAUUUCUCUACUGCCCAUCGAUAAUUACUGAAUCUUCCAACCCUCAAUUCUCUUGCGAAAUCUGUCAACGAAAUUAGCAAAAGCCUAAUUUUUCUUCCUCCCAAUCAUUAUAGGCAAGCCCAAAUAUUUUUCAGGGUUCAUUGCCAAUCUAGCACCCAAAAUGCUUACAAUCAUAUUCCUAACCUCAGACCUGACACAUGCACCAAAAUAGAUGAACGACUUAUCCAAAUUAAUUCGUUGCCCCGAAGCUACCUCGUAUUCCAAAAGAAUGUUACGAACAGUGUGAGCACCCUCAGCCGAGGCAUUGCUAAAUAUGAUGCAAUCAUCAGCAAAUAACAAAUGAGUAAUUGAUAUCUUGCCUCUACCAAUCAAAGCACCCCUUAACUUAUUAUUGAUUUUAGCCUAAUUCAAUAAACAAAAGAGACCUUCUGCAUAAAGAAGGAAGAGAUAGGGACUAAGUGGGUCACCUUGCCGG
rnacentral:lncRNA from 1 species